GAAAUGCGAUACGUAAUGUGAAUUGCAGAAUUCCGUGAAUCAUCGAAUCUUUGAACGCACCUUGCGCCCCUUGGUAUUCCGAGGGGCAUGCCUGUUUGAGUGUCAUUGUAAUCUCUCAACUUUGGCCUUUGGUUUCUUCUUAACCCAAGGCCUGGAGUUUGGAUGGUGGAGGUGUGCUGGCUGCCCCUGUGGAGGUCAGCUCCUCUGAAAAGAAUCAGCAAAAGGGAAAUGCACCUGUUCCUGCAUCUUGUGCUUCUGGCAUUGAUAAUUGUCUAUGCCUGUUGUGGYUCGGGAUGCCUUUUGGAUUGGGUGAGCAUUUUUGCUUACAGUUUGUCCUUCGGACAUUUUUGACAAAUCACCUCAAAUCAGGUA
rnacentral:rRNA from 1 species